UACGUAGGGUCCGAGCGUUGUCCGGAAUUAUUGGGCGUAAAGGGCUCGUAGGCGGUUUGUCGCGUCGGGAGUGAAAACACCGGGCUUAACUCGGUGCUUGCUUUCGAUACGGGCAGACUAGAGGUAUGCAGGGGAGAACGGAAUUCCUGGUGUAGCGGUGAAAUGCGCAGAUAUCAGGAGGAACACCGGUGGCGAAGGCGGAUCUCUGGGCCAUUACUGACGCUGAGGAGCGAAAGCGUGGGGAGCGAACAGG
rnacentral:rRNA from 1 species